UGGGGAAUUUUGGACAAUGGGCGAAAGCCUGAUCCAGCAAUGCCGCGUGUGUGAAGAAGGCCUUCGGGUUGUAAAGCACUUUUGUCCGGAAAGAAAUCCUCUGGGUUAAUACCUCGGGGGGAUGACGGUACCGGAAGAAUAAGCACCGGCUAACUACGUGCCAGCAGCCGCGGUAAUACGUAGGGUGCAAGCGUUAAUCGGAAUUACUGGGCGUAAAGCGUGCGCAGGCGGUUUUUGCAAGACGGAUGUGAAAAUCCCCCGGGGCUUAACCUGGGGAACUGCAUUCGUGACUGCAAGGCUAGAGUAUGGCAGAGGGGGGUAAAUUCCACGUGUAGCAGUGAAAUGCGUAGAGAUGUGGAGGAAUACCGAUGGCGAAGGCAGCCCCCUGGGCCAAUACUGACGCUCAUGCACGAAAGCGUGGGGAGCAAACAGGAUUAGAUACCCUGGUAGUCCACGCCCUAAAACGAUGUCAACUAGUUGUUGGGGAUUCAUUUCCUUAGUAACGUAGCUAACGCGUGAAGUUGACCGCCUGGGGAGUACGGUCGCAAGAUUAAAACUUAAAGGAAUUGACGGGGUCAUAGCUGUUUCCU
rnacentral:rRNA from 1 species